rnacentral:rRNA from 1 species
CAGUAGCCGCGGUAAUACGAGGGGUGCUAGCGUUGUUCGGAAUCAUUGGGCGUAAAGAGUAUGUAGGCGGCCAGAUAAGCCAGUUGUGAAAUCCCCGGGCUCAACCCGGGAAGUGCAAUUGAUACUGUCUGGCUUGAGUAUGGAAGAGGGUAGUGGAAUUCCAGGUGUAGUGGUGAAAUACGUAGAUAUCUGGAGGAAUACCGGUGGCGAAGGCGGCUACCUGGUCCUAUACUGACGCUGAGAUACGAAAGCAUGGGUAGCAAACAGGAUUAGAUACCCCUGUAGUCCCUGUCUCUUAUAA